CUACUACUGUGCUACAAGUGGAGCCAUAUAGGGGAAACGAGCAGCCAUCUCAGGAGCAAGGUGUAUGCUGCCUUUGGGGGCUCCAGUCCUUGCCUCAAGGGUCUUAUGUCACUGUGGGCUUCUUGGUUGCCAAGAGGCAGACCAUAGGCCGUCUUGAGAAGGACUUUAUGUUCAAGUGCAGAAAGCAGCCAGGAUUACCACCCUCGGGACUCUGCCUUCUGUGGCCCUGGCCAAACUUAGAAUUUGGCCGUAGACAGGACAAGCUCACUUGGAGUAGCGUGUCUGUAGCUGGGGUCUGUGCAUGCCAGGCAAGGCCAAGCUGGCUCAAAGAGCAACCAGCCACCUCUGCAAGGGUGCACCUAGAGCAGGUGGAGCAGCCACCAGCUCACCCACUCCAGGAAGCCGGGGUAGCCAGGUUCCCAAAGCCUGAGUGGGUGCCACCUAAUGGCUGAAGAAACAGAGGCCUUAGGAAAACCAGAUGGCACUGUGGCCCUACCUUUAUGGUAGAAGAGCUGAUUUAGCCUGACUGGCAGCGUGUGAGGUUGAUGGCUGGUCUGCCUGCUGCUGGCACAUCCGUGCAAAGAUAGCUGGUUGCCCUUUGAGCCAGCUUGCCCUUGCCCAGCAUGCACAAGCCUCAGUGCAACAACUGUGCUGCAAAUGGGGCCAUAUAGAGGAAAGGAGCAGCUGGCUCUGGAACAUGGUGUGCACUCCCUUUGGGCCUUCAGUCCAUGUCUCAUGGGUCGUAUGACACUGCGGGCUUGUUGGUUGCCAAGAGGCAGACCACAGGUCAUCUUGAGGAGGACUUUAUGUUCCAGUCCAGAAAGCAGCCAGUGGUACCACCCAGGGGACUUGUGCUUCUGUGGCCCAGGCCAGACGUAGAAUUUGACAAAGUCAGGACGGUCUCAGUCAGAGCAGCAUGUCGGUCCCCGGGGCCUGUGCAUGCCAGGCAAGGCCAAGCUGGCUUAAAGAGCAAGCAGCCACCUCUGUUAAGGGUGUGCCUGGAGCAGGUGGAGCAGCCACCAACCUCACCCACUGAAAGAAGCAGGGAUGGCCAGGUUCCAACAUCCUGGGUGGCUGCCAGCUGAUGGAGCAGAGGCCUGAGGAAAAGCAGAUGGCACUGCUUUGUGGUGCUCUUCUUUGUCUCUCUUGAUCUUUUUCAGUUAAUGUCUGUUUUAUCAGAGACUAGGAUUGCAAACCCUGCUCUUUUUUGCUUUCCAUUUGCUUGGUAAAUAUUCCUCCAUCCCUUUAUUUUAAGCCUAUGUGUGUCUUUGCACAUGAGAUGGGUCUCCUGAAUACAGGACAACAAUGGGUCUUUACUCUUUAUCCAACUUGCCAGUCUGUGUCUUUUAACUGGGGCAUUUAGCCCAUUUACAUUUAAGUUUAGUAUUGCUACAGGUGAAAUUUAUCCUGUCAUGAUGUUGCUAGCUUUUUAUUUUUCCCAUUAGUUUGCAGUUUCUUUAUAGUGUCAAUGGUCUUUACAAUUCGAUAUGUUUUUGUAGUGGCUGGUACUGGUUUUUCCUUUCUACGUUUAGUGUCUCCUUCAGGAGCUCUUGUAACACAAGAAUGUGGAUUUAUUUCUUGUAAGGUAAAUAUGUGGAUUUAUUUCUUGGGACUGUAUUCUAUGGCCUUUACCCCAAGAAUCAUUACUUUUUAAAAUGCAAUUCAAAUUAGCAUAAAACAUUUACAGCCUAUGGAAAGGCUUGUGGCAUUAGAAUCCUUAUUUAUAGGAUUAUUUUGUGUUUUUUUGAGAUAUGGUCUUUGUCAUCGAGGCAGAAGUGCCGUGGUUUGAUCAUAAUUCACCACAGCCCUGAACUCUUGAGUGCAAGCCAUCCUUUUGCCUUAAUCUCCCAACCAGUUGGAUCUACAAGCAUAAGGCAUCAUGCGUGGCUAAUUUUUUCACGUUUUUUUUUUUUUUUUUUUUUUUUUGUCGAGAUUAUGGUAUCACUAUGUUGCUCUGGCUGAUCUCAAAUGUUUGACCUCAAGGGAUCUUUCUGCCACAGCCUCCUUAAGUGCUAGGAUUAUAUGCAUGAUACACCAUGCCUAUUGUAGAGUAUUACAUUAUUUUCAAAGUCUUAUUGUAAGAGCCAUUUAUUGCCUUUGGCCUAAAUAACUCAAUAUAAUAUCUCUGAAACUUUUUUUUGACAAAUUUUGGGGCAUGAUGAUGAGAGAAGGGGGUUUGAAACUUUCUAAUAAGAGUUAACUUAGAGCCAUUUAAGAAAGGAAAAAACACAAAUUAUCAGAAAAACAAAAGUAAGAUCAAGUGCAAAAGUUCUGUGGCAAAGAUGAUGAGAGUAAAGAAUAUAUGUUUGUGACUCAUGGUGGCUUUUACUUUGUUCUUGCAUUUCUGAGUACGGGUUAACAUUUAAAGAAUCUACAUUAUAGAUAACAUUUUAUUGCAAGUAAAUGUAUUUCAAAAUUUGUUAUUGGUUUUGUAUGAGAUUAUUCUCAGCCUACUUCAUUAUCAAGCUAUAUUAUUUUAUUAAUGUAGUUCGAUGAUCUUACAGCAAAGCUGAAAGCUGUAUCUUCAAAAUAUGUCUAUUUGACUAAAAAGAAGUUAUUCAACAGGAGUUAUUAUCUAUGAAAAAAAUACAACAGGAAUAUAAAAAACUUGAAGAGGAUAAGAAGAUGUUGGAAAAAGUAAUAUUAAAUCUUAAAAAACAUAUGGAAAGUACACAUUGGUGAAGACACAUUGGUGAAGUACAAAAAUAUAAAUUGGAUCUAGAAGAAAGGGCAAUUCAGGCAAUAGAAAAAUUAGUAGAAAUCCCUUUAAAGGUUAGUUUGUAAAAUCAGGUAAGUUUAUUUAUAAUUUGCUUUCAUUUAUUUCACUGCAAAUUAUAUUUUGGAUAUAUAUAUAUAUUGUGCUUCCUCUGCCUGUCUUACAGCAAUUUGCCUUGCAGAGUUCUAGGAAAAAGGUGGCAUGUGUUUUUACUUUCAAAUAUUUAAAUUUCCAUCAUUCUAACAAAAUCAAUUUUUCAGAGUAAUGAUUCUCACUGUGGAGUCAUUUGAUUAUUAAGACCCGUUGGCAUAAGAUUACAUCCUCUGACUAUAAAAAUCCUGGAAGAAAACCUAGGAAAUAUUCGUCUGGACUUUGCACUUGGCAAUGAAUUUAUGGGCGCUUUGGAAUCCUGCAGAUAUAAUAAUGAUAAUUAAACAAAACACUCAGAGAAACUGCCAACCCUAGGAUGAAGUAUAUUGUUACUGUGCUUUGGGAUUAAAAUAAGUAACUACAGUUUAUAGAACUUUUAUACUGAUACACAGACACUAAAAAGGGAAAGGGUUUAGAUGAGAAGCUCUGCUGUGCAAUCAAGAAUCUCAGCCACUCAUUUCUGUAGGGGCUGCAGGAGCUCCCUGUAAAGAGAGGUUAUGGAGUCUGUAGCUUCAGGUAACCACUGAUCCACUUCCAGUCACUAUCCAUGAGUUUUUAUUUCCAAAUACAUGAAAUCAUAUGAUUUGAAGGCAAUUUUUUAAAGCUCUCCACAUGUGGUUUACUGUGGACCAAACACUGGCAGCUUCAGGCUUACAAUCUGCUGACAAACUCUUCUUAGUUCCUUCAAUUGAAGAAUGUGAGCAUGCACUGCUCAUGUGCCUGGCAAGCAGGCAAACCACUCAGGAGAAGGACAGUGGCCACUCAGGUCAUCAGGUGAACUUGUGACGGGGCCAUCAAGAGGCUGCACGUGAGCUCCAGAAAAUGAAAUUCCCACUAUCAACCUAUUUUCCAUUUCCGCCCAAUGCCCCGCCCCUGCUCCAAAUCAAGGUCUCCGCCUCUUAGAAAUGCUUGAUUUUCAGUAUUGCUAAACAGGGAUCGAAGAAAACAAACUGAACAAAGAAACAAAUAAAGCCUUUAACACAGUGAGCAAAGACACAGCACCUACGCCUUCCCCGGGCCCCGCAACAGCUCCAGAGCUGCACAGCUGCUCCCAGAGCCUGAGCAUGGACCUGAGCUCUGGCUCAUGGAUCUCACCAAUGCAUUUCUUCCCUCUGUGUCAAAAAAGCAUCCAGAAAUUGGAUUCAUUUACUUGGGACAUAAAAUAAUGUAUACCUACAGUUUUGUCCCAGAACUGUGUAAACCAGCAUGCUGUCUGCCAUAAUACAGUCCUCCCCCUGCAUCAGGAGCACAGAUGGGGGAAACCGGCGGGGCUGGAGGGGAGAGAAAAGCACCACAGAGAGCCAGGCCCUGCCUACAAAUCCCAUUUUUAGGGGUCUAGUGGUCUGUGCAGGCUGGGAGAUGAUCUCUAAAGGAAAGGCAAGAAAUAUUGCCCCACAUCUCCCACCACCAAACAGAAAGUGCAGGUGGUCAGCCCCAGGGCUCACCUGCCCUUUGCCAGGGUCAUGAGCUAGGCCCAGGCUGCGCACUCCACAAAACCAUCAAGGGGACGACUGCCUGCCAGGCUGGGACAACUGCACCAGGCCCUGACAUCCUGGGAAGAACAGGGUUGCAUUUAACAGAAACAACUAAACCUGCAGGGAUGAGCUUGCCUUUCCCCGGGGCCACGGGAUGGUUUAUAGAAAGUUCUGCCCAUCAGGACGAGACCUCACAUGACACCAUCAGAGGAACUGAUACCAUGCCACAGAGGGAGGAAGACGGCACAUGCCAUAGGUCCGCUGGUCACAGCACACACACGCUCCUGGGAACUUCAGAGCCAGCAGUGUGGCUCAGGUGCCAGGUCAGGAUGUGGGAGGACACAGUGUCUGGGUGAAUCUGUCACCUUUGCUAGCUGCCUGGUCCCACCAGGUAGAAGAUGUGGCAAUGGGAGCACAGCAGUAGGAAGCCCAGUGUCCCCCAACCUUCCACCUCACACCCAGGACCUCUGAGGUGCAUCUAUGUCCUGCACAUCUAGGCUCUGAAAAGCAGGAGGUCCUGGUUUCCACAGCUGUGGGGCUUCUAGACAGGACAGAGCCAGGUUCUCUAAAAAAAACAAGCUCUGGGUGCUGCUUUGUUCUCAGGCUGCUCCUCCAUGGGACCUGCGGGCAGAAAGAUGUGUACCACCUGGACCAUGGUGUCAGCAGGAGCAGGGCUGUGCUGCCUGGGGAAGAAGGGGCUCUACGCAAGCGCCUCUCAGUACACAGCAUUUGAUGGUACCUGGACAAGUGCGGGAGCCCUAGACCAAGGACUCAGUGGUGAGCAAGACUCAGGACCCCUUAGGGGCGAGGGCCUGGGUUACACCACCAGGGGGUCACCUGGACCCUCAGCAGAAGGUGAAGGGGUGAUCAUUACCUUUGCGACCCUGAAAUGGGUGGCAGCCACAGGACACAGGGUUCAUUGAACCCACCUUGUGUAACUAUUGCCCAGGAAAAGGCCCAGAAUUUAAUAAAGACAAGGCCCCUGGCAGUGCAGUGUUGGAUGGGGCGCACCCCCUGGGGCACCCCUGACCCUCCCCCAGGGCCUUGGCUCUGAGCUUUGAUUAUAGACACACGUAUGCCAUGGCCCCUUCAGACUGCUCCCUUCACCUUUGAAAAACCAGACAGGAUGCUUCUGUUCCUGGAAACACGAAUGCCCUUCAUGUGUUUUUUUCUUUGACUAGAAACUCAACUUCAACCAAAAUAUAGACUCCCACACAAUAAUAAUGGGAGUCUUUAACAUCCCACUGUGAACAUUAGGCAGAUCAAUGAGUCAGAAAGUUAACAAGGAUAUCCAGGAAUUGAACUCAGCUCUGCACCAAGCAGACCUAAUAGACAUCUACAGAACUCUCCACCAAAAUCAACAGAAUAUACAUUUUUUUCAGCACCACACCACACCUAUUCCAAAACUGACCACAUAGUUGGAAGUAAAGCACUCCUCAGCAAAUGUAAAAGAACAGAAAUUAUAACAAACUGUCUCUCAGACCACAGUGCACUCAAAUUAGAACUCAGGAUUAAGAAACUCACUCAAAACCGCUCAACUACAUGGAAACCGAACAACCUGCUCCUCAAUGACUACUGGGUACAUAACGAAACGAAGACAGAAAUAAAGAUGUUCUUUGAAACCAAUGAGAACAAAGACACAACAUACCAGAAUCUCUGGGACACAUUUAAAGCAGUGUGGAGAGGGAAAUUUAUAGCACUAGAUGCCCACAAGAGAAAGCAGGAAAGAUCUAAAAUUGACACCCUAACAUCACAAUUAAAAGAACUAGAGAAGCAAGAGCAAACACAUUCAAAAGCUAGCAGAAGGCAAGAAAUAAGUAAGAUCAGAGCAGAACUGAAGGAAAUAGAGACACAAAAAACCCUUCAAAAAAAUCAAUGAAUCCAGGAGCUGGUUUUUUGAAAAGGUCAACAAUAUUGAUAGACCGCUAGCAAGACUAAUAAAGAAGAAAAGAGAGAAGAAUCAAAUAGAUGCAAUAAAAAUAGAUAAAGGGGAUAUCACCACCGAUCCCACAGAAAUACCAGCUAUCAUCAGAGAAUACUAUAAGCACCUCUACGCAAAUAAACUAGAAAAUCUGGAAGAAAUGGAUAAAUUCCUUGACACAUACACCCUCCCAAGACUAAACCAGGAAGAAGCUGAAUCUCUGAAGAGACCGAUAACAGGCUCUGAAAUUGAGGCAAUAAUUAAUAGCCUCUCCCUGGGAAUGGGCGGGCCUGGGUCCAGUCCACAGGGCCCCUCGCGGGCCCUGACGCAGGAUGGAGUUGAGGUGGGGGCAGCGCUGGACCCCAGGGCCCCUGCCUGCCUCCUGGGGAGCCCGGUGACCCAGGCAGCCCUGGUGAGGCUGUGGGUGUCUGGGCCAUAGCGAGGCCCCCGGGCUCCCACAGGACAGAUGCGGACAGUGAGGCCGGGGAGGCCCUGCUGCCCUCCGGACUGUCCCUCCAGCCCCCAGCUUUCUGUGGUUCUCUGGACCCCCUCUGCAGAGGGGCAGGGGAGCACACCCUGGAUCCUGAGACGCCAAGCUUGAGGAACCCCAGAGCUCUAGCGAGGCUGCUUGCUUUGCGGAUGGUGGAACUGAGGUCCAGAGGAGGGCAGGGGCAGGUCCCGGGUGCUCCCUAGGCAAAGGGAGCCGAUCUCGGGGAGGGGGUCACAGGGAGCGUCCCUGCGACUUCUAGGGCCCGAAAGCUGGGGAGGAUGAGAGACCAGGGGUCUUUCGUCGCCCCCUGGGGCUGGGCAGAGGCUCAGCCUGUGUUGCCACCCAAAGCUGCUUCUGGCAAGUCCGAGCCGCGUCCCUUUAAGAGGGGGUGGAGCUUCAACCUGGCACGAGGGAUGCUGCCAGCGUGCGUGUCCCUACGGAAGCUGAGACUGCACUUCCUGCGAGGCCCCUGCAGCAGCAGCGGCGUGGUCAGAGCGAGCUUCGGAGAAGCAGUGGUGGGUUCCAUGUGAUGGUGGAGUAGGAGGCAGGUCUCCGCGGCUAGUCACCCUGCUGUGGAAUAGAAGGCCAGAAUUGAUCAGUCUCAUCUGAGAGUAACUUUGUACCCAUCACUGAUUCCUUCUGAGACUGCCUCCACUUCCCCAGCAGCCUCUGGUUUCUUCAUGUGGCUGCAGAUGGCAGGAUUUCCCAAAGGUUUCUGGCUGAAACAUAUUCCGUGGUGUAUCUGUACAGCAGUUUCCUCAUCCCUGCAGCUGUGUUUGAACAGGUCAUUUACCAUGCUGUCCUCCAGGUUCAACAGUAUGGCUCCAAAGGAUGAAAUUUCAUUCUGAUUUUCUGGCUGAAGACUAUUCUCUUUGUGUAUGUCCACCACAGUUACUUUAUCCCUUCAUCUGUGGAUGGGCAGUCUCGCUGUAUUGCCCAGGCUGGAGUGCAGUGGCAUGAUCUCAGCUCACUGCAAGCUCUGCUUCCUGGGUUCACGCCAUUCUCCUGCCUCAGCCUCCUGAGUAGCUGGGAUUACAGGCACCCGCCACCACGCCCAGGAAAGAAAAAAGAAGAAAACAAACCUCCAUACGAGAAUGGGUCUAAAGGAACUUCCCAAACCUCCAUGAUUUUGCAGGAAACAAGAUAAAGCUGGUUGGUGGAGAAUUUGAACUGGAGAUGAACUCUAUUAUCCAGGAUGCUGAGAGUAUAAUACGCAUGACAGAGCUUUUAGAGCACUGUGAUGUAACAUGUCAAGCAGAAAUAGGGAGCAUGUUUACAGCCAUUCUAUGAAAAAGUGUUUGGAAUGUACAGACUAGCACAGAAGUUGGGCUAAUUAAACAAGUAUUGCUGAAAAUGAGUGCUGUAGAUGACAUGAGAGCAGGUAUGGGGUUGAUUGUUAGGGAAGUAUAACUUAAAAGUUUAUAAAGUUUCACAUACUUCUCUUUAUAUUCUAUAGGUAAUGUAGAUUUGUUGACACUACUUUGAUUUAAAAUAAAUGGAAAUGUAUGGAAAUUUUACUUUUUAUAUUAAUGGAAAACCUGAAGAGUGAAAGAAGAAAAAUAUACUUACUAUAGUAGACAAAUAUAAUUACUAAUGUUGUUUUCUAAAUUUUAGAAAAUCUCAGUACCACGGAGUGCUAUGAAAUCUAUCAGAAAAAUAAACAGUAUCUUUUUAUGUAGUAUUUCAUUAAGCUUUUACAUAAUUAAAAUGCCACAAUAGGUAUUACA
rnacentral:lncRNA from 1 species